rnacentral:rRNA from 1 species
GAUGAACGCUAGCUACAGGCUUAACACAUGCAAGUCGAACGGAGAUGGGAAAGCUUGCUUUUCCAUUUUAGUGGCGGACGGGUGAGUAACACGUGAGCAACCUGCCUUUCAGAGGGGAUAACGGCUGGAAACGGUCGCUAAUACCGCAUAAUAUGUAUUUAAGGCAUCUUAGAUACAUCAAAGAUUUUAUCGCUGAAAGAUGGGCUCGCGUCUGAUUAGAUAGUUGGUGAGGUAACGGCUCACCAAGUCGACGAUCAGUAGCCGGACUGAGAGGUUGAACGGCCACAUUGGGACUGAGACACGGCCCAG